rnacentral:rRNA from 1 species
GACAGAGGGUGCAAACGUUGUUCGGAUUUACUGGGCGUAAAGCGCGUGUAGGCGGCUUUGCAAGUCGGAUGUGAAAUCCCACGGCUCAACCGUGGAAGUGCAUCCGAAACUGCAUCGCUCGAGUCUCGGAGAGGAAGGUGGAAUGCUUGGUGUAGAGGUGAAAUUCGUAGAUAUCGAGAGGAAUACCAGUCGCGAAGGCGGGUUCCUAAAACAGUACUGACGCUCAGGGACGAAAGUCUGGGUAGCAAAAGGG